GUUUUCUCAAAGCUCAACAUCCACACACACUUUAAUCCCCUCAACACAGUGAUGCAGCACCUUGUCCACCCUCAGGACCAAAUACAAAACAGCAAACCCACAACCUAUUGUGCAUGUUCAACCGGGAUUCCCUCCUCCAUAAAACCAUGUGGAGCUGGUUAGCUGUGAGGGUAUAAAGCCUUGAAUGUUCCUCAGCUGGGUCAGACUCCCCAGUUCACCAUGGAUAGAUCUAUGCUGCUCCUCCUGUUCAGCCUCCAUAUUUUCCUGCUCAUCGCAUUUUCCAGCUCUGCAGAUGCAGCUGCUCUGGUGACCAGUGAUCAGAAAAAAAGUCAGACUUUGGAUCUGGGAACAACCAAGAAUGAGAGAAGCCAACGAGCCAAACGUCAAUCAGAUAGGUGUGGCAAGUUUAUGGGAGGAUGCUCAAUUAUUGGUGUAAGAGGCAUCGACAUGAUACCACUGGUUAAACCAACACACGAAUCCCCACGGAAAGCUUCAGUGAAAUAAUGGAACCAGAAGGAAAAAAGUUCACAACCCAGCAGGCAGAUGGAAUAAAGUGUGACUGUAUCUAUCGAUUAAGAGCUCCAUUUGAAAAUAACAACCUUUAAGAUUAUACUAACCAAAACAUCACUUUAAGUAACAGAAAUAAAAACUUGAAAACAAUA